CUUGGGGGGAGGAUCAUUG
rnacentral:rRNA from 1 species